ACAACUUUCAACAACGGAUCUCUUGGCUCUCGCAUCGAUGAAGAACGCAGCGAAAUGCGAUACGUAAUGUGAAUUGCAGAAUUCAGUGAAUCAUCGACUCUUUGAACGCACCUUGCGCCCCUUGGCAUUCCGAGGGGCACACCCGUUUGAGUGUCGUGA
rnacentral:rRNA from 1 species